GCCUCUGUAGCUCAGCUGGUAGAGCGGCUGCCUUGUAAGCAGCAGGUCGGGAGUUCGAUCCUCUCCGGGGGCU
rnacentral:tRNA from 1 species